UACGUAGGGGGCAAGCGUUGUCCGGAAUUAUUGGGCGUAAAGAGCGCGUAGGCGGUCCGAUAAGUCGGCUGUGAAAGUCAGGGGCUCAACCCUUGAAAGCCGGCCGAUACUGUCGGACUAGAGUCCGGAAGAGGCAAGUGGAAUUCCCGGUGUAGCGGUGAAAUGCGCAGAUAUCGGGAGGAACACCAAUGGCGAAGGCGAGUCUCUGGACGACUCCUGACACUGAGGCACGAAAGCUAGGGGAGCAAACAGG
rnacentral:rRNA from 1 species